rnacentral:rRNA from 1 species
CUCGUAGGCGGUUCGUCGCGUCCGGUGUGAAAGUCCAUCGCCUAACGGUGGGAUCUGCGCCGGGUACGGGCGGGCUGGAGUGCGGUAGGGGAGACUGGAAUUCCCGGUGUAACGGUGGAAUGUGUAGAUAUCGGGAAGAACACCAAUGGCGAAGGCAGGUCUCUGGGCCGUUACUGACGCUGAGGAGCGAAAGCGUGGGGAGCGAACA